AAGACGACAAAGCUGAAGACGACAAAGCUGAAGACGACAAAGCUGAAGACGACAAAACUGAAGACGACAAAGCGGAAGACGACAAAGCUGAAGUCGAAAAGGUGGAACCAACUACAGAGCCUGACUGUGUACCUCUAAGGCAGAAGGGAUGAAAUCGCUACCUUCAUCUGCAAAUGCAGUGGGGUCAGGUUCCUUGGCUGGCAAUUUGGAGACGCGAAUGCAAAAUGUCCUGCAGAGACUGCAAGCAUUUUCCGGUCCACAUAGCAAAGAAAUCGAUGACAUCAUUGAGAUUCUAUUGCCAAAUAUGCUCUCCAAUUUGAAGGCAUACAAUGCAAUUUAUGAGGUGCGUAAAAUGGAUGCAACCAUGAAAUCGACCCCAACAGGUUGUGUAUUUCCAUGAAGUUGAAAAGGUAUUAAAAAUGAAGUCAGAAAAGUUGGAAAAGAAGGACGAAAUCAAAGCAAGAUGGUACUGAGAAUUAAUAAAUUCAAUUAUAUAGUAAGAGAAGUUGGUUUACUAUGUCCUUUAUAUAUAUUUGACAUUCAAAAUUGUACAAAAUUAACACUUCAUAUUUUAAACAAAAUAUGUAAAGUUAUUAAAAAGUGUAUUAGUGGACCAACCAGAAAAGAACCUUUUUAACAAUACUUCAUAAUGGGGUAUCGCUUCAAAAUGCCAAGUUUUGCGAACUCAAUCUUCGCCCUCAUUCUUCAAACCAGUCACAUAAAUCGAAGCAUUCAUUGUCACCAACUGGGCCUAGAUGGGCUGAAUAAAGUGAAGGAGUGUGUGUGGCUGGUUGGGGCUGCACAUGAAUCAUUCAUGAAACGUUUUGGCACAAAUGCAAGUCGGGCAAAUCCUUACAACAAACAAAAAUCCCUCCCGUUAAAAUACACACAGGCAUGGCACACAAUGCGCCAACUAAACAAUGUAAAAUGUUAAAUAAUUAUUUAAAACAGUUGGAAAAACUCCUGUUCUGGGCUUGGCAACGGUGUGUCAAAAUGACAAAAAAUGUUUACUGUUUACUUUUUGGCAAAUUUAUGGUCUAAUGCAGCUGGCACUGGCAAAAAAAAAAUUCCAUUCCUGCUCAACCCUCAACACGCUGUUUGAUAGGAAAUACGACAAGAAAAAAUAUGUUUACAAUAGUGGAAAAUAUUUGCUGGUUCGACAAAAAUAUAAUAUACAAAUAUUCAUAUAUUGAUUAGAGAGAGCUACGAGAGCUAAGAGAAUUAAAAGUUUUCAAUUUAUCUAAACUCA